AUGAACGCUAGCUACAGGCUUAACACAUGCAAGUCGAGGGGAAACGGCAUCGAAAGCUUGCUUUUGAUGGGCGUCGACCGGCGCACGGGUGAGUAACGCGUAUCCAACCUGCCCAUCACUUGGGAAUAACCUUGCGAAAGUAAGACUAAUGCCCAAUGACAUCCCACGAAGGCAUCCGAAUGGGAUUAAAGAUUUAUCGGUGAUGGAUGGGGAUGCGUCUGAUUAGCUUGUUGGCGGGGUGACGGCCCACCAAGGCAACGAUCAGUAGGGGUUCUGAGAGGAAGGUCCCCCACAUUGGAACUGAGACACGGUCCAAACGCCUACGGGAGGCAGCAGUGAGGAAUAUUGGGCAAUGGGCGAGAGCCUGAACCAGCCAAGUAGCGUGCAGGAGGACGGCCCUAUGGGUUGUAAACUGCUUUUAUAAGGGAAUAAAGUGGGUCACGUGUGACUUUUUGCAUGUACCUUAUGAAUAAGGACCGGCUAAUUCCGUG
rnacentral:rRNA from 1 species